rnacentral:rRNA from 1 species
UACAGAGGUCUCAAGCGUUGUUCGGAUUCAUUGGGCGUAAAGGGUGCGUAGGUGGCGAGGUAAGUCAGGUGUGAAAUCUCGGGGCUCAACCCCGAAACUGCACUUGAUACUGCCUUGCUCGAGUACUGGAGAGGAGAUUGGAAUUUACGGUGUAGCAGUGAAAUGCGUAGAUAUCGUAAGGAAGACCAGUGGCGAAGGCGAAUCUCUGGACAGUUACUGACACUGAGGCACGAAGGCCAGGGGAGCAAACGGG